rnacentral:piRNA from 1 species
GACCAACUUUUUUUUGUCUUUUAGGCUUG